UGCUCCUUGGCCAAGCUGGUUACGGCGCACGACUGUUAGCUGUCGCCGCAAUCGUGAGAUCAUGAGUUCGACCCUCAUAGGAGCAG